GACGAGGAGCUUGCUCCUCUGACGUUAGCGGCGGACGGGUGAGUAACACGUGGAUAACCUACCUAUAAGACUGGGAUAACUUCGGGAAACCGGAGCUAAUACCGGAUAAUAUAUUGAACCGCAUGGUUCAAUAGUGAAAGACGGUUUUGCUGUCACUUAUAGAUGGAUCCGCGCCGCAUUAGCUAGUUGGUAAGGUAACGGCUUACCAAGGCAACGAUGCGUAGCCGACCUGAGAGGGUGAUCGGCCACACUGGAACUGAGACACGGUCCAGACUCCUACGGGAGGCAGCAGUAGGGAAUCUUCCGCAAUGGGCGAAAGCCUGACGGAGCAACGCCGCGUGAGUGAUGAAGGUCUUCGGAUCGUAAAACUCUGUUAUUAGGGA
rnacentral:rRNA from 1 species